UACGGGGGGGAGCAAGCGUUGUUCGGAUUUACUGGGCGUAAAGGGCGCGUAGGCGGCGUAACAAGUCACUUGUGAAAUCUCCGAGCUUAACUCGGAAAGGUCAACUGAUACUGUGCGGCUAGAGUGCAGAAGGGGCAACUGGAAUUCUUGGUGUAGCGGUGAAAUGCGUAGAUAUCAAGAGGAACACCUGCGGCGAAGGCGGGUUGCUGGGCUGACACUGACGCUGAGGCGCGAAAGCUAGGGGAGCGAACGGG
rnacentral:rRNA from 1 species